UACGGAGGGUGCAAGCGUUAAUCGGAAUUACUGGGCGUAAAGCGCACGCAGGCGGUUUGUUAAGUCAGAUGCGAAAUCCCCGGGCUCAACCUGGGAACUGCAUCUGAUACUGGCAAGCUUGAGUCUCGUAGAGGGGGGUAGAAUUCCAGGUGUAGCAGUGAAAUGCGUAGAGAUCUGGAGGAAUACCGGUGGCGAGGGCGGCCCCCUGGACGAAGACUGACGCUCAGGUGCGAAAGCGUGGGGAACAAACAGGAUUAGAUACCCUGGUAGUCCACGCCGUAAACGAUGUCGACUUGGAGGUUGUGCCCUUGAGGCGUGGCUUCCGGAGCUAACGCGUUAAGUCGACCGCCUGGGGAGUACGGC
rnacentral:rRNA from 1 species